UUCCCACUUGCGAUUAUACAUGAAUUGGCAGAAACAUUGAAACCUACCUUUCUGAUGGGAGGCUAGAUGCGUUUAGGUGCAGCAGGUCCUGGCUUGUGGCUUGGAAGACCACCUUAGGUUGAAAACUGAUUUUCUCCUGUCAUUGACCUUCUUGACUCAUAUCUUCGGCAGCAUUUCGACCCUGAUCUUCCAGAAAAAGAGACGAAAGAAUCAUAACGGUUUCUCAAUGUGACGUGGAUGUGAACUGGCUUUGAGGAAGGUCUUUGGAAUCUUGCCAAAAUUUUUCUGCAAAGUGACUAGAAAAAUAUUGAAGUCUGACUUGUUCGUAAAUGCAGGAGAUGCCUUCUUCAUGACAGGAAGAAACCUAAGUAAAUGCACACCUGCGACUUCUGAUAGGCAGAGCCACAGUUUCCAAUGUAGUGGAGGACCAGGAUACAAGGCUCCUUAUUUAGGGAUGGACCCUGGCUUGUGCCUGAAUAGUUCCAGAUGAAAGCCUAAGACUGCAGUUAUGGAACUGAACAAGAUGCUGUACUCUUUUUGGUCCAAUAAAAUACUUGUAUGAAAACCUU